GCCGCCGCGGCCAUGGUCGCCGGUGCUUAUGCAAGCGCGACAUGUGGACGGCCGAAAAAUUUGCAGUCGACUUCCAAGGGUGUGUCAAGAUGGACGUGCAGAAGAUAAUCACGCUAACUGUGCUUGUGUAUUUACUACGAAAACGAAAACGGAAGAUUUCACGUAAAAGACAGUUUUGGGUGCAUCCAUUACUUUGCGAGAGAAAGACUAAAGGAUUAUAUUAUACUUAUUUUUUGGAUUUAAAAAUGUAUGAGAAGAGAUUCUUUAAUUACAUGAGAAUGUCAACGAAUACUUUUAACCUGUUACUGGAUACAAUAAAACCAAAAAUUACUGGAACUGGUAACAACUAUCGGAAAUGCAUUCCAGCAGAAGAAAAAUUAGUAAUAACAAUAAGGUAUUUGGCUACUGGGUGUUCUUUAUCUCAUAUAAGUCAUGAAUACCGUAUAGGGCUUUCUACAGUAUCGGAAAUAGUAUUUGAUGUUUGUGAAGCAAUAUGGGAGAUAUUAAAACCAAUUGUGAUGCCACAAUUGACCAGAGAUAAGUGGAUUCAAACGGCUGAAGGUUUUCAAAAAUACGCCCAAUUUCCUAAUUGCAUCGGAGCCAUCGACGGCAAGCACAUUAGAGUUAUCAAACCACAACAUUCGGGAUCUCUUUAUUACAAUUACAAGAAUUAUUUUUCAAUCGUGUUACUUGCAAUAUGUGAUGUAAAUUAUAAAUUUCUUUACGUAGAUAUUGGAGCAUACGGCAAAUGCAGUGAUUCGUCAAUUUACAAAGACUCUGUAUUUUAUCAUAGGCUUUUAAAUAAUGAUCUCGAUAUUCCGAGCAAUAACCCCAUCAAAGAAAAUGGCCAAUCAAUGCCGUUCGUUUUAGUGGGUGAUGAGGCGUUUUCACUAUCGGAACAUAUGAUGCGACCGUAUGCUGGGAGAAACUUGAAUAAUGUAAAGACUAAUUUUAAUUAUCGACUAUCCCGUGCCCGCCGCUAUAUUGAAUGUACAUUUGGAAUAUUAGCCAAUAAAUGGCAGAUUCUUCACCGACCCCUAAACGUCAAGAAAGAAUUUGCAGUUGUGAUUAUAAAAGCUCUAUGUGUGCUUCAUAAUUUUGUGCGAGAAAGAGACGGAAAUGAUUUCAAGGACACGUUAACUGUACCAGAGGCUUUAUUAGAAAUACCUGCAUGUUUACCUAAUAGAGCAAAUAGAACAUCAACCGAAUAUCGAGAUAUAUUCGCAAACUACUUCAGUACCGAUGGUCGCUUGCCCUGGCACAAUUAACCAAUUAAUUUGUAAAUAUAUGGGUGCGUACCUACGACGGCUGCUCAGUUUGUACGUUGAGGCACUUGCUCGCCGCGAGCCGCCAUUGCGCGCCGUAAACAAAAUGGCGUCGAACGCACAUGCGGUAUGAGUAAUCUUUUUAAAAAGUUAUUCCAAUCAUUACGAAAACCUGGGAAAUUUUAGCAAAUAAUUGUCAAAACUCAUGUGCAAAGCGAAAAAUAGUAGAAAUAAAAUAGUUAUACUUUUGACAAUUACCUAUUUGCUAAAAUUUCUUAGAUUUUGAAUGAACGGAACAACUUUAAAAAAAAUCACUCGUGUCACAUAUACGUGUCGAAUGCUACUACAGCACCUGCUGCGUUUAUUGUAGUUCAUCGCAUUAUUAAUUUACUUAGGCAUAAUAAAAUAAAAUACUAACCAAGUUCUGCCUUUUCUUUAUCUUCCAUGGAUUCACCGCCAAAUAUAUCGACCACUUCAAGCCACAACUGCCGCUUAAAAUCUUUAUUGGAGUAAUCAUUUGAUGCUAAAUCCCAUAAACCUCUUCUAUUUUCAACUUCAAUUAUGAACCUUUCCGUGUCGAAAUUGGCCAUUGUAAAAUAAUCACUCUGUAGCUAGCUAGCUACACGUCUGGUCGCCGCGGCCGAUGCGGUAGCACUGAUGAAUUUUAAUACAGAAGUGAUGUUCUCGACGACCACGAUUGGUCGCUGGUCGCGUGGCAUCAAAUUUGACGCCGCGGCCAACGGUGGCCGCUGGUCGCUGGCCGCUAAGUGCGUAGGGGCUAUAGCGAUUGCCAUAUAAAGUCCAGAAUUCACUGGCCGCCGCGACCAGGUCGCGGCGACCAUGGUCGCCAGUGCGUAGGAGGCCUUACACAAACACACAAUUGGUCAUAUGUUAGCUCGCAGGAGAAUCCAGCUGAUUGUCUUAGCAGAGGUGUGACACCUCACGAGCUAGCUGAUCACCCCCUCUGGUGGAGGGGACCAAAAAUUUUACAUUCAAGUGAGUAUAAACCAAAUUUUAAUUUUUCAAUACCACAAGAAUUACCUGAGGUCAAGGACUCUUCCACACGCUUGAGCGCUAUGGUUUGUGUUUCUACUUCUAUUGUUUCUAAAACAUUAUGUCUGGAUUUUCUAGAUAAAUUUUCGGAUAUCAAUAAGAUGCAAAGAGUGAUAGCUUAUGUCCUACGCUUUUGUCAAAAUGUAAGGUCCAAGGGUAUUAAAAAUAAGCUUAAUUAUGUAACCAGUCAGGAACUUAACAAUUCUUUGUUAAUUAUUUUAAUGUAUGAACAACAAAAGUUUCUGAAGCAUGAUAUCCAUGCUUUAAUGUGUGGUAAGGCCAUUGUUAAAGGCAAUUUAAAAUCUCUUUGUCCUUUUGUUGAUGACAGUGGUUUGCUGCGGGUUGGAGGGCGAUUGGUCCUUGCUUCCGGUUCUCGGAUGAGUAAGAGGUGUUAUCGGUGUUCCUAAGAUUAAAUUGAGUUUCGUGUCGACUUACCAAAUAUUUACGUACGGAAGGAUUGUGUAUUGUAACCUCAACAUCACUGGAUCAAGGUACGACAUUGUAUACUAUCUCACAACGUUAAUAUCUCAUUAUAAACACUUCAACAAUUUCGGCAAAGGCAAUCAACGGAAUUAUUUAAAAAUUGAAUCACUUGUUUAUAUGAAAAUAAACCAAUUAGAGCAGAUAAAACGGAGAAACCACAACCCACAACGCCCACAACCCUUUCGUCACAACCGGCUUUUUCUUUUCUGUCUGUCAAAUAAAUGAAGUGACUUUGACAUAUGAAUGAAAUUGACAUAAGAAGUAACAUAUUGACAUGGUAUUAUAAAUAUAGAUGAAUUAAAGAAUAAAAUUAUACAGCCAAGUGGCAUAAAUGAAUGAAAUUGACAUAAGAAGUAACAUAUUGACAUGGUAUUAUAAAUAUAGAUGAAUUAAAGAAUAAAAUUAUACAGCCAAGUGGCAAUUUAAUUGACAUUAGAAUAUUUUCAUAGGUAUAAUUACAGUUUUUGUCUUUGAAAAUGGAUAACAUAACCAUUAGAAAAAAAUUACACAGAUCUAUAUCAGAAACGGACUUAACAAAAAUGACGAUGGAAUGUAAUAGCAAUAUUUUAAAUUCUACUAUUAUGGACACUACUAUGUACAGCCUGCAAAAUGUAACUACAAAUGAUACAUCUUAUGUUGAAGAUUUAAAAACAGAAUUAGAAACUGUAAGAGAGAAAUUAUUAAUUGCAGACUUGGAAAUAGAAAAUUUAAAUAUAGAAAACAUUAAAAUGAAGCAAAAAAUACAUGAGCAGGAUAAAAAAAUGGAAUUACUAAAAAAACUUACUAUGGGAAAAAAAGCUAUGGGAUCAAUUUUCUCUAAAAUAAUAGAAAAGGUCAUACACAGAAAACUAUAUAAUUUUUUGGAAUCACAUAAUAUACUUUCACCCCAACAGUAUGGUUUCAGAGAAAAAAAGUCAAUUAACAUGGCCAUUUAUGACUUUUUAUAUAGAGUUAUGGCACAGGUUGAUAAUAGAAAACCGAGUGUUGGUCUAUUUAUGGAUAUGUCGAAGGCAUUUGAUCGUGUUGUGCAUGAAAUUCUAUUGCACAAACUGUGCACUUACGGUAUCCGUGGCAACGCGCUCAAACUGAUGGAGUCAUAUCUAAAGGACCGACAACAGAUAAUUCAAAUUGAUAAGAUUUGUGACAAAUCCAAAACAGAACUUAGUUACUACUCACAAGCUAGAAAAGUUACAUGUGGCAUACCGCAGGGGAGUGUAUUAGGUCCACUAUUAUUUUUAGUAUAUAUUAAUGAUUUACCUUCAGUAACAGAACAUCAUGUUACACUUUUUGCUGACGAUAGUACCAUUUUAUUAACAGGGACUGAAUCCCAUAACAUGGAGACUGAAAUUAUAAAAACAUUGACAUUAAUAACAGAAUGGCUAAAUAAUAAUAAAUUGAAAAUUAACAUUGAAAAGACGAAACUAAUAAAUUUUAAACAAAGACAUAAUGAAAAUUCCAAACUUGACAUUACAUUCUUGGACCAAACUAUUACCGAAACAGAGGUCAAUAAAUUUUUAGGUUUAUAUAUUGACAAUAAACUAAAAUGGAAGACGCAUCUAGAUUACUUACGCAAACGGUUAAAUCAAUACUCAUAUGCACUCUCAAGACUACAAAAAAUUGUAAAUAUAAAUACUGUUCUAACAGCAUAUCAUGCGUAUGUAGUGUCAUCAUUAAAAUAUGGAGUCAUAUUUUGGGGGAACUCAACUGACAAAGAAAUGAUAUUAAAAGCCCAGAAACGUUGCAUUAGAUCCAUUUUCUAUUUAAAACCAACUGACUCAUGUGUACCAUAUUUUAAAAAGCAUAAGUUGCUUACCCUGCCCUGCAUAUAUAUUAUCGAAUGUGCUCUUGUUGUACACACAAACAAACAUUUGUUUUCACAUCACACCAGCGCGCGUCAUUGUACCAAAGUUAUUCAAUAUGCAUGUAAAACAAAACUAAUGAGCAAUAGUGUAUUUGGCAAAGCCCCUUUAAUAUAUAAUAAAUUGCCGAAAUCGCUACAAUUGACCAUAGAUGUGGGUAGUUUCAAAAGAAGCCUCCACGAUUUGUUAGUUCAGAAAUGUUAUUAUAAUCUUAAUCAUUUUAUGAGUGACAAAUUGUAAUCUUUAUUAAUUUAAUUAGCUAUUAUAUAUUUAAUUAUUCUGACUGACAUUUCUAUGAUUUAAUUUUGAUUUAAUUUUAUUUUAAAUAAUGUUUUCUAGAUUUAAUAGGUACUAAUAUUGACAAGAUUAUGUACGCCUGCCAGGCAGAAAACAGAGUUCUGUUAUAUUAACAUUUUUAUCGAGCCAUUGUACCUGUUUUCACGAAUAAAUGAAUUUUGAUUUGAUUUGAUUUGAUUUGAUUUGCAUAAUGCUGAUGUACCAUAUUCGCAGAAUCAUCCAAUUAUUUUGCCGCGAGAUUCGCGCGUCACUAACCUAAUAAUUCAUAGCGAGCACUUGAGGAACCUCCAUGCAGGCCCUAAGCUGACUCUGUCAUCACUAAGGCAAAGAUUCUGGAUAAUACAUGGUCUUAGAGAACUUAAGAAAGUUUUGUACAGGUGUACCAUUUGUUUUAGAUUAAAAGCAGAAGCUUCUAAGCAAUUAAUGGGCUCUUUGCCGCCUGAUAGGGUGAAAGCAUGUCUUUCAAAAAGUCGGUUUAGAUUAUACUGGUGCAAUAUCAUUGAAAAUUGCAAGAGUAAGAAAGCCAAUAAUCACAAAGGGUUGUAUGUUUGCGUGUUUGUAUGCUUUUUAACCAAAGCAAUCCACUUAGAGCUUGCUUCAGACUUAAAAACAGAGACUUUCAUUGCAUGUUUUAACAGGUUUAUUGCCAGAAGAGGGCUGCCUACUGCCAUAUACAGCGACAAUGCUUCAACCUUCAGAUGUGCAGGGAAGCAGUUAGAUGAUAUGUACAAAUUACAUAAUUCUACAGAACAUCAAAGAUUAGUUUCUCAAUUUGCAGCUCAAAAGAGAAUUGAAUUUCAUUACUUACCUUGUUAUUCCCCAACGUUUGCCGGUUUAGCCGAAAGCGGUGUGAAAAGUUGUAAGAAUUUGUUAAAAAGAGUGUUAUUAAAGUCAAUUUUAACCUAUGAAGAAUUGUAUACGUAAGAGUUUUAUGCCAAAUUGAGGCUAUCUUAAAUAGUAGGCCUCUAAUGCCACUAUCUAAUGAUGUAACUGACUUUUCCUGCAUUACUCCAGAGCAUUUUUUGAUAGGUACAGCUUUAAAUACAUACCCAGAUGCAAAUGUUACUAUGAUUACUAGAUCUCAAUUUUGGAAAAUAUGUAAUGAGAUGAAAUUAGAAUUCUGGAAAAGAUGGAGUAAGCAUUAUUUGAAUUUUUUACAAUGUCGUCCAAAGUGGCUGACCUCUCAACCAAAUGUAAAAAUAGGUUCGCUUGUAAUACUUAAGGAUGAUAAUUUAUCACCAAUGUACUGGCCCUUAGCCAGAGUAAUUAAUACCUAUCCUGGUGAUGAUGGUAGGGUUCGUGUGGUUGAAGUAAAAACUUCAAACGGCCACAUACAUAGAAGAGCUGUAGUGAAAAUAUGUGUACUACCGCUUGAUAGUGAUGAUGGCAGCAGCUGUGCCUAGAGGUGUUCCUUACCAAUCCCAAGAUAUGUGUUUACUAUCGUAGGGCUAGGCACAGCACCAGCCUUUAUGUACAAUUUUGUAUAAGUAUUAAUAGUAAAUAACUCUUUUCUUAUUUUAGUAGAAUAAGUUACAGGUAAUAGUGUUUUAUACAGCAAACAUAAGAAUGUAAGUUUCUCAACAAAAAAAAAUGUUUGCAUAGUUUUUAAGACAUUUAAUGUUUUCAAUAUGUUAUCAAUACUGUUCCUAUUUAUUUAGAUAUCAGUUAAGUGUCUGAUUAAAACCUGUACUCAAUAAUUUGGUUAAAUUUACAAUUCAUAGUGUAUGCGUACAUACUACUAUUUACAGAAAGUUAAAUUGUAUUCUAUGUACUAAGGUUUAAUGUCAUUCUAUAAAGUGUAUAUUUAUAGUUUGAAAAUAUUCUCAUUGUAUCUUUUGUUUGCCCCGGCAAUAUGUUGGAACAUCAACAUUAAAAAGUUUUGUUUUUUUUUAUAUUUCAUUUUUUGAUUACGGCAACAUUGUAUCGAUUUUUUUCUCUCUUGUUCGUUCUCCCUCCAAUAAACGGUCACGUUUCUCCGUAGCUCCUGGAUUUUUAUUAUUACCAGCCUAAAGGUGGUGAUAGACGUACGAACUUAAAGUCUGCGGUUUUUAAGAUCGCGAACUUACUUGGCUCGACGUCGGCGAUACACGCGCCAACUUACUCAUACCGUAUCGCGAUGUCGUCCACUGAAGAAGCUUUGUGUUAUUUAGGAAUUAUAUCGUAUUACAUUUCAAAAACUAAAAACAAUAGACGAAGGCGAAAAGUGUGGGUUAAGAACUGGCUUACAAAAAGAGAGCGUUUAUCACAUGUGAAUUUAGUAAGAGAGUUACGUGAAGAGAAGGAAGAUUUCCAGAAUUAUUUCAGAAUACCUGAGCCUGUGUAUGAAGAACUUUUGUGUGUAGUCACACCAAUUAUAGCUAAACAGGAUACUUGCAUGAGAGAAGCUAUUUCACCGCAUGAACGUUUAAGUGCAACAUUACGAUUUUUGAUAACAGGUGGAACAUAUAAAGAUGUAAUGUAUUCGUCAGCGAUAUCGAGACAGUCAUUGGGGUACAUAAUUCCAGAGACAUGUGACGCAAUCUACUCUGCACUGAAAACAUAUUUGAAGUAUGAAACCUACUUUAAUACUAGUGGUGCAGUGUCAUGGCAACAAUGAAUGAUAUAAUAAUAGUAUUUUUACCUGGGUAUCAUUUUCACUAUGUUCAGCAUCAAAUGUAUUUUCAUUAUCAUUAGCUGUCUCCUGUUCGCUGCUGUCUAUAUUGUCAGUUGAUUGUUCACCUGUAAUUAAAUAAAAACCCUCUAAAUUAA